GACGAUAAUUUUGCUGAUUGUGGCUCUGGGGCUGUUUAAAGCAGCGUUUGCGCCACUCGGUUUAACCUAUUUAGCGGUGCUGAUUGUGCAGAUAUUGGCACCGGCCGUGAUUAGCGGCUACCGUACUUAACAGUUAUCGUAUUUAACGGUCACCGUAUUUAACUACAAAAAGGGUAAGAGGCAUCAUGUCUGCAUCAGGAGAAAUCUCUACUCCAAGGGACUACAUAGGUCACCACCUGAAUAACCUUCAGUUGGACCUGCGUACCUUUGAGUUGGUCAAUCCCCACUCACCUGGCCCUGCAACGUUCUGGACGUUGAACAUUGACUCUUUGUUCUUCUCUGUCGUGCUGGGGUUAGCUUUUCUGUUUGUGUUCCGCAAAGUUGCGGCAGGUGCCACCAGUGGCGUGCCUGGCAAAUUGCAGACUGCUGUUGAGUUAAUUAUCGGUUUUGUCGAUAACAGCGUGCGGGAUAUGUACCACGGCAAAAGUAAAGUCAUCGCACCAUUAGCCCUGACCGUGUUUGUUUGGGUUUUAUUGAUGAACAUGAUGGACUUACUGCCAAUCGAUUUACUGCCUUACAUCGGUGAACAUGUCUUUGGGUUACCUGCAUUGCGCGUGGUACCUACUGCGGACGUGAGUAUUACCUUGUCCAUGGCAUUGGGUGUCUUCAUCCUGAUUCUGUUCUAUAGCAUCAAAAUGAAAGGUGUAGGCGGCUUCGUAAAAGAACUCACGAUGCAGCCGUUCAAUCACCCGAUAUUUAUUCCAGUUAACUUAAUUCUGGAAGGUGUCAGCCUGCUGUCCAAACCUGUUUCACUCGGUUUGCGACUGUUCGGCAACAUGUAUGCGGGUGAGUUGAUCUUCAUCCUUAUCGCUGGUCUGUUGCCGUGGUGGUCACAGUGGAUGCUCAGUUUACCUUGGGCUAUCUUCCACAUACUGAUUAUCACGUUACAAGCCUUUAUCUUCAUGGUUCUGACGAUUGUCUAUCUGUCGAUGGCGUCUGAAGAGCACUGAUUUUCUUAAU
rnacentral:rRNA from 1 species